rnacentral:rRNA from 1 species
ACUCCUACGGGAGGCAGCAGUGGGGAAUAUUGCACAAUGGGCGCAAGCCUGAUGCAGCCAUGCCGCGUGUGUGAAGAAGGCCUUCGGGUUGUAAAGCACUUUCAGUCGUGAGGAAGGUAGUGUAGUUAAUAGCUGCAUUAUUUGACGUUAGCGACAGAAGAAGCACCGGCUAACUCCGUGCCAGCAGCCGCGGUAAUACGGAGGGUGCGAGCGUUAAUCGGAAUUACUGGGCGUAAAGCGCAUGCAGGUGGUUGUUAAGUCGGAUGUGAAAGCCCGGGGCUCAACCUCGGAAUAGCAUUUGAAACUGGCAGACUAGAGUACUGUAGAGGGGGUAGAAUUUCAGGUGUAGCGGUGAAAUGCGUAGAGAUCUGAAGGAAUACCGGUGGCGAAGGCGGCCCCUGGACAGAUACUGACACUCAGAUGCGAAAGCGUGGGAGCAAACAGGAUUAGAUACCCCUGGUAGACUGUCA